GCUUAACUCCGGAACUGCAAUCAAAACUUUUUAGCUAGAGUAUGAUAGAGGAAAGCAGAAUUUCUAGUGUAGAGGUGAAAUUCGUAGAUAUUAGAAAGAAUACCAAUUGCGAAGGCAGCUUUCUGGAUCAUUACUGACACUGAGGAACGAAAGCAUGGGUAGCGAAGAGGAUUAGAUACCCUCGUAGUCCAUGCCGUAAACGAUGUGUGUUAGACGUUGGAAAUUUAUUUUUAGUGUCGCAGCGAAAGCAAUAAACACACCGCCUGGGGAGUACGACCGCAAGGUUAAAACUCAAAUGAAUUGACGGGGACCCGCACAAGUAGUGGAGCAUGUGGUUUAAUUCGAAGAUACGCGCAGAACCUUACCAACACUUGACAUGUUCGUCGCGACUUUAAGAGAUUAAAGUUUUCGGUUCGGCCGGACGAAACACAGGUGCUGCAUGGCUGUCGUCAGCUCGUGUCGUGAGAUGUUGGGUUAAGUCCCGCAACGAGCGCAACCCUCACUUUUAGUUGCCAUCAUUUAGUUGGGCACUCUGAAAGAACUGCCAGUGAUAAGCUGGAGGAAGGUGGGGAUGACGUCAAGUCCUCAUGGCCCUUACGUGUUGGGCUACACACGUGCUACAAUGGCAUUUACAAUAGGAAGCAAGAUGGCGACGUCGAGCAAAUCCUAAAAAUAUGCCUCAGUUCGGAUUGUACUCUGCAACUCGAGUACAUGAAGCUGGAAUUACUAGUAAUCGCGGAUCAGCGCGCCGCGGUGAAUACGUUCCCGGGUCUUGUACACACCGCCCGUCACACCAUGGGAGUUGGUUCUACCUUAAGGCAAGGUUUAAAACCCUUGACCACGGUAUAGUCAGCGACUGGGGUGAAGUCGUAACAAGGUAACCGUA
rnacentral:rRNA from 1 species